rnacentral:rRNA from 1 species
AUGAAAGUGUUCAGUCGGACUCGGACGAAGGGAAGUAUUCUUCUUCUUCUUCUUCUUCUUCUUUUUCUUCUUCUUCAGGCAUAUAAUCCGGAUCUGCAAGCUGUGAAUCCGGUUCAUCAUCAUCAUCAUCAUCUUCCUCUGCUUCUUCAUUAUCUUAUGCUUCAUCUUCAUUUGCUUGAUGAGCUGCUGCCUCAUGUGCUUGUUCUCCGUGCUGAGCAGGAGCAGCUUCUUCUUCCUCAAGAUCCACAAGAUACCAAUCAUCAUCAUCUUCACCAUGUGACUCUUCGGGUAUGUAAUCUGGAUCGGCAACCUGGGAGUUUAUUUCAUCAUCAUCAUCAUCAUCAUCUGCUUCUUCAUCAUCUUGCACUUCAUCUUCAUUUACUUGCUGAGCAGGAGCAGCUUCUUCAUUUACUUGCUGAGCAGGAGCAGCUUCUUCAUCAUCAUCAUCAUCAUCUUCCUGCGCUUCUUCAUCAUCUUGCACUUCAUCUUCAUUUACUUGCUGAGCAGGAGCAGCUUCUUCGUCAUCAUCAUCAUCAUCAUCUUCCUCUGCUUCUUCAUCAUCUUGCACUUCAUCUUCAUUUACUUGCUGAGCAGGAGCAGCUUCUUCUUCAUCAUCAUCUUGUUCUUGUUCUUCUUCUUCUUCUUCUUCUUCUUCAGGCAUAUAAUCUGGAUCUGCAAGCUGUGAAUCUGGUUCAUCAUCAUCAUCAUCAUCUUCCUCUGCUUCUUCAUUAUCUUGUGCUUCAUCUUCAUUUGCUUGAUGAGCUGCUGCUUCAUGUGUUUGUUCUCCGUGCUGAGCAGGAGCAGCUUCUUCUUCCUCAAGAUCCACAAGAUACCAAUCAUCAUCAUCUUCACCCUGUGACUCUUCGGGUAUGUAAUCUGGAUCGGCAACCUGGGAGUUUAUUUCAUCAUCAUCAUCAUCAUCAUCUGCUUCUUCAUCAUCUUGCACUUCAUCUUCAUUUACUUGCUGAGCAGGAGCAGCUUCUUCUUCAUCAUCAUCUUGUUCUUCCUCUUCAUCAAGUUGGUUAUGAUCUGGAUCCAAGUUCUCAACUGCAUCUUGUAGACCAGCUUGCGCCUGUACAUACCUAUCCAUUGAUACUCUCAAGGACACAUGCUGCAAGGACUCUGUUCUUUCAAAUAUAA